GACGAACGCUGGCGGCGUGCCUAAUACAUGCAAGUAGAGCGCUGAAGGAGGAGCUUGCUUCUCUGGAUGAGUUGCGAACGGGUGAGUAACGCGUAGGUAACCUGCCUGGUAGCGGGGGAUAACUAUUGGAAACGAUAGCUAAUACCGCAUAAGAGUAGAUGUUGCAUGACAUUUGCUUAAAAGGUGCAAUUGCAUCACUACCAGAUGGACCUGCGUUGUAUUAGCUAGUUGGUGGGGUAACGGCUCACCAAGGCGACGAUACAUAGCCGACCUGAGAGGGUGAUCGGCCACACUGGGACUGAGACACGGCCCAGACUCCUACGGGAGGCAGCAGUAGGGAAUCUUCGGCAAUGGACGGAAGUCUGACCGAGCAACGCCGCGUGAGUGAAGAAGGGUUUCGGAUCGUAAAGCUCUGUUGUAAGAGAAGAACGAGUGUGAGAGUGGAAAGUUCACACUGUGACGGUAUCUUACCAGAAAGGGACGGCUAACUACGUG
rnacentral:rRNA from 1 species